rnacentral:rRNA from 1 species
GUGGGUAGUUUGACUGGGGCGGUCUCCUCCUAAAGAGUAACGGAGGAGCACGAAGGUUAGCUAAUCCUGGUCGGACAUCAGGAGGUUAGUGCAAAGGCAUAAGCUAGCUUGACUGCGAGAGUGACGGCUCGAGCAGGUGCGAAAGCAGGUCUUAGUGAUCCGGUGGUUCUGAAUGGAAGGGCCAUCGCUCAACGGAUAAAAGGUACUCCGGGGAUAACAGGCUGAUACCGCCCAAGAGUUCAUAUCGACGGCGGUGUUUGGCACCUCGAUGUCGGCUCAUCACAUCCUGGGGCUGAAGUAGGUCCCAAGGGUAUGGCUGUUCGCCAUUUAAAGUGGUACGCGAGCUGGGUUUAGAACGUCGUGAGACAGUUCGGUCCCUAUCUGCCGUGGGCGCUGGAGAAUUGAGGGGGGCUGCUCCUAGUACGAGAGGACCGGAGUGGACGCAUCACUGGUGUUCGGGUUGUCAUGCCAAUGGCAUUGCCCGGUAGCUAAAUGCGGAAGAGAUAAGUGCUGAAAGCAUCUAAGCACGAAAC